AGUGAACGCUGGCGGCAGGCCUAACACAUGCAAGUCGAGCGGCAGCGCGGGUGUAGCAAUACAUCUGGCGGCGAGCGGCGGACGGGUGAGGAAUACAUCGGAAUUUACCCAAUCGUGGGGGAUAACGUAGGGAAACUUACGCUAAUACCGCAUGAACUGGAGACAGCAAAGCGGCGGACCUUCGGGCGUCGCGCGGUUGGAUGAGCCGAUGUCGGAUUAGCAGUUGGCGGGGUAAAGGCCCACCAAGGCGACGAUCCGUAGCUGGUCUGAGAGGAUGAUCAGCCACACUGGAACUGAGACACGGUCCAGACUCCUACGGGAGGCAGCAGUGGGGAAUAUUGGACAAUGGGCGCAAGCCUGAUCCAGCCAUGCCGCGUGUGUGAAGAAGG
rnacentral:rRNA from 1 species